UACGUAGGGGGCAAGCGUUGUCCGGAUUCAUUGGGCGUAAAGAGCGUGUAGGCGGCCAGGUAGGUCUGCUGUGAAAACUCGAGGCUCAACCUCGAGACGUCGGCGGAAACCAUCUGGCUAGAGUCCGGAAGAGGAGAGUGGAAUUCCUGGUGUAGCGGUGAAAUGCGCAGAUAUCAGGAAGAACACCAGUGGCGAAGGCGGCUCACUGGCCCGGUACUGACGCUGAGGUGCGAAAGCGUGGGGAGCAAACAGG
rnacentral:rRNA from 1 species